GGAUGAUGCUGCUAAAGUCAAGAUUUGGGUAUAAUUUUUUGACUGCAUCUUGAUCGUCUUCAUACUUGAUGUAAUAAGAGGCGAACCCACCUUCGAGGAUUUCUUCUCUGAAUUCUUCUGAAUACUUGAAGUCCUCGAUCGUCCAACUUAAUGCCUCCCUCGCUGACUCUGCUUCCGCCUUCGCCAACUCAGCAUCGGCUCGUGACGACUCCUCCUCGACCAGUGCCAACCUUUCCAGGCUAGCCCGAUGUUGUCCACGUUUGGCUUCGAGUUCAGCAAUGCAUCCAUCUCGUUCCCAUCAAAGUC
rnacentral:lncRNA from 1 species